rnacentral:lncRNA from 1 species
GUUACAUCUUUUUCUUUUUCUUUUUCUUUUUUGAGAGAGAUAGGUAGCAUACUACGUGCUUCGUUUAUUUCAUUUAGAAAUAAACUUAGCUAGAAAUGUAAAUCAACUAGGAUUCGAACUUGGAUCUCGGGUACCAAUCACCAAGCCCUUUGCCACUUGCUCUAGGGACGGUCGAUGUUACAUCUCCUUUUUGAAACGGAUUGUUCCUAACGCAGUUGAUUAAAGGAUUAAUAUUCAAGGUUCUAAAUUAGAAGUUUAGUUAUUUUAUAUUUCUCUCUGAAUUUAUCUUAGAAAAAUAAAUGAAAUAAAUAAUGCACAAAUCAAUUACGAAACCCUAGCUUCUUGCAAUAAUCAUUGUAAAUAAUUUUUUUAAUAUUAUAAAAUUAUAUUCUUUAUAAUUUCUUAAUAUAUAUUAAAAAAUCAUAAUCUUUAUAAAUAAUUUAUUUAAUGAUAAAUUGUAUUUCUCAAAUAUUAAUAAUGAAAUAUAAAAUGUGUUGCAUGAGUGGUAAAGCAGCAGCACAUGCAUACAUGCCAUAUAUAAUUUCUACUAUUCUUUUUUUUUUGGUAGGAUAUACGUAAAGGUGUCCAAAAUAUCCGAUAUCCCAUACCCGAUCCGGACCCUAUCCGGACCUGAACCGGACCCGAACCGGACCCAAUAAAAAAUGAAUAGUAUACGGAUAAAAAAAAUUACCCAUUAAAAUUUCGGGUAUAGGUCCGGAUAUUUUAUACUCAUACCCGAUUUGGACCCGACCCGAACCUAACUUUUAAAUGGGUAGGGUCCGGAAUAGUUUUCAAAUCCGGACCCGGACCCGGAUCCGAUGAAAUAUCCGAUAGUAAAUAAAAAAUAAAUAAACUUUUGAAGUUGAAGGAUCAAUUUUAAUAUGACUUAUAGAUGAUGAGUCACUAUGUAUUUUCAUCCUAAUGAAACCCUAGCCGUCUCUUUUAUUCAUUACUUUUUUCUAAUUUUUUUACUCUUUGUUUUCUACUCUUUUUUUUCAUUUUAUUUCCGCCAACAAUAUUUCAUUGUCAACAAUAUAGUUUGUUUAUUGACUAUUUAAUAAAGUUUAUAAAAAAAUAUAUUUAUACGGAUAUCCGUACCCGAUUUAGACCCGAUCCAUAUCUGAUUUUGAACGGGUAGUAUACGGAUAGUCACUACCCAGACCCGCUCAAAUAGACCCGAUGGGUAUAUUAGAAACUUUAGUACCCAGACCCGGACCCGACCCGAAGUUAAAUGGGUAGGGUAUAUAUAUUUUUUUGUAACCAUUUCUUUUUAGGGUAUGGGUACAGUAUAUUAAUUACCCAAACCCGACCCGAUCCACGGACAUCUUUAGAUAUACGUCAUAAUAUCUCCUUAAUGUGUUUGUUUUACCACGGCUACAUAGGGGUGUUUCGGCCAUAAAUAUUUACUUUCGUUGUUUUGCUCAUCAUAAAUUUACUUUUAGUUGAAACUUAGAAUUUCUUAAAAUACCAUCAGUAACUUCGACCUUUCCGUCGUUGAAGUCAAAUAGAAAAAUAACAAAAUAAACAAAAUAAAAUAUCAAUCUAUCUUUUGUUUCUUUAAUUUUUUAUAUUAUUCAUUUUCUAUUAAACAAACAGCAAAACUAAGUAAACUUUAGUUCCACUGCUAUACAAGCAAACAACGAAAUAAUUUUUACCUG